CCCCUCUCCCCAUCUUAUGAACCCUAACUCUACCCUUUGCCUCCAAGAAAAACAACCAGGCUUGUAAAUGGGAAAGCAAGGAUUAUCCAGGACAGAAGUGCCCAUAACGGAGGGAGAAGGAUGCCCAGGGAGGGGGAGUGCAGUGAAGGGUGAGAGUAUGGAUAGAAGGCCAGAGCUGGGCUAGGAGGAAACAGCUCAAGCUAUUCUCUCUAAAGAAACCAAUGGACUCAUUCCAAUGGCUGCCAGAAUUGAUGGGCUGAGUUGGGGCUAAGUUAUCUUUCGGGUUGGGUGUGUGCUUUAAGCAGGCCCUAAGCAUUCUGCCCUAAACUGGUCCCUCAGAGUGAAGGUCAGCCCUCUACAAAUAACUCUACCCUCCCUGACAGAUGCCUCCUCACCUCCCUCCCCCCGGGAUGACCUCUUCCUGACCUCUGCCCUCUCCCUGCCCCUGUGGGAGUGGAGGUCAGACUGGCUGGAGGACAUGGAGGACCACCACAGCCAGCGGCUGGGAAGGGGGCUGCCCCCCUGGCCCCCCGACUCUCGGAUCUCUUCCCGAAGAAGUCAGCUCGGCCGUCCUGAGCCCAAGGCUGGCAAUUCCUCAUGAAGUGUGCCCAAGACUGCCAAGAAGAGAAUCAAACCACCCCCCUGUGGAGUGUCAGUCUUGGCCUGCACUUCUCUGCAGCUGGGGGACCACCUUGUCCGGACUCCCGGAGAGCUCUCGUCCUUCCGGGAUUGUGAAAACAGAUGAAAGCGCAACAAAAUAAGCACAAAGUAGACCUGGAGCCCUCAGGGAGCAAAAAGCCAUCCCAGCCUGACUCCUCGCCCUUGCUUUCUCCUCCUUCCAUCCAUCCCACAGCCAGGUCUUCUGGCCUGAGAAGCAGCCUUAUCUCCCGAUCUCCCCACCCACUUGGAUCACGGGAAGUGGGGGAGCCAGAGGUCUUCCCAGAGGACAGCAACAGCUUGUGGGACAGGCGGUAAGGGAAGGAGCUUUACAGAGCCACCCCUCUCGGGAGGGGACCAUUCAUUCCCACAGGGGCAGGCUCACCUCUCCGCAGCCACACCCGGGAGAGGAAGAAAGGAGGACCCACCGACCAGCCCUGAAGCGGUGAGGCCCUUCCUUGCUACCAAGGCAGAGGGGCCAGCAUGGAUCCAGGGAGGGAGCUGUGAAGGAAGGGAGGUGGGAAAAUGGAGGACAAAACCCCCUCCUCAUACUGUGGACUCUAUGAGCUUAAGGAAUUGAUACCAUAAAACUGUCACGACUUGA